GCCUUAAAGUCCUUUAGCAGCACAUCAUGAUUUGCAUGCUCUGGUAAAGAUGCGAAUCAUUAUUUGCUGCUUUAGAAAUUUAAGGA
rnacentral:pre_miRNA from 1 species